UGUAGCUUUACCGAUGACAAAAUCAAAAGAAAAAAACACCAACGUUUACAAAUUCAGGUGGUUUUGAGUAAGCAUUGGUCGGAACCCUAACCUCAUCGCACAACCCCCACCCGCACCCCCACCACCAUCAUCAUCCAAACACCCACUCUGUAUCAGGGCCCUUCGUCAUUGAACCCUAAUCGUCGCCUUCCGAUUCCACUGGAGAUUCGAGUUCACGGCAGAUCUAACAUGCGUCUCUUUGACGUGCAUUCGGCAUUGGUUGAUCUGGUGGUUGUGGUGGUGUCGUGUGGUUGUUGUUGGUGGCAGUUUGGUGUGGUUGUGUUAAUCAAUCUUUGAUCAAUUCAUCUUGAUCUUGCAUCUU
rnacentral:lncRNA from 1 species